GAUGGUGUGUGUCUUGAGGAUGGUGUGUGUCUUAGGGAUGGUGUGUGUGUGUCUUGAGGAUGGUGUGUGUCUUAGGUGUGUCUUGAGGAUGGUGUGUCU